AGGACGAACGCUGGCGGCGUGCUUAACACAUGCAAGUCGAACGAAAGGACGGGAAGAGCUUGCUCUUUCCGGAAUUGAGUGGCAAACGGGUGAGUAACACGUAAACAACCUGCCUUCAGGAUGGGGACAACAGACGGAAACGACUGCUAAUACCGAAUAAGUUCCAAGAGCCGCAUGGCCCAUGGAAGAAAAGGUGGCCUCUACCUGUAAGCUAUCGCCUGAAGAGGGGUUUGCGUCUGAUUAGCUGGUUGGAGGGGUAACGGCCCACCAAGGCGACGAUCAGUAGCCGGACUGAGAGGUUGAACGGCCACAUUGGGACUGAGAUACGGCCCAGACUCCUACGGGAGGCAGCAGUGGGGAAUAUUGGGCAAUGGGCGCAAGCCUGACCCAGCAACGCCGCGUGAAGGAAGAAGGCUUUCGGGUUGUAAACUUCUUUUGUCAGGGACGAGUAGAAGACGGUACCUGACGAAUAAGCCACGGCUAACUACGUG
rnacentral:rRNA from 1 species